UACGGGGGGAGCAAGCGUUGUUCGGAUUUACUGGGCGUAAAGGGUGCGUAGGCGGCGCGGUAAGUCGGGUGUGAAAUCUCGGGGCUUAACUCCGAAACUGCAUUCGAUACUGCCGUGCUUGAGGACUGGAGAGGAGACUGGAAUUUACGGUGUAGCGGUGAAAUGCGUAGAUAUCGUAAGGAAGACCAGUGGCGAAGGCGGGUCUCUGGACAGUUCCUGACGCUGAGGCACGAAAGCGUGGGGAGCAAACAGG
rnacentral:rRNA from 1 species